AUUGGCGGGCCGCCUACACAUGCAAGUCGAACGCCCUUUGUCUCGCAAGAGAGGGAGGGAGUGGCGGACGGGUCAGUUUACGUGGGUGACCUAGCCCGCAGNGAGGGAUACCGGCCUUAAAUUGCCGACAAGCCCGCAUAGGCUCGUACUGGUAGAGCAGCACGAGCAAAGGUUUUGUCUCGAGAGAGAGAGCGCCGCUGAGGGAUGGGCCUGUGGCCGAUUAGCUAGUUGGUGAGGUAAGAGCUCACCAAGGCGUCGAUCGGUAGCUGGCCUGAGAGGACGAUCAGCCACACUGGGAUUGAGAACGGCCCAGACUCCUACGGGGGGCAGCAGUGAGGAAUUUUCCGCAAUGGACGCAAGUCUGACGGAGCAACGCCGCGUGCAGGAGGACGCUUUUCGGAGUGUAAACUGCUUUUCUGUGGGAAGAGCUACGGACGGUACCACAGGAAGAAGCCCCGGCUAACUACGUGCCAGCAGCCG
rnacentral:rRNA from 1 species